CUUGACUAAAUCGAUAAACCGUAUCAGCACGCAGCAGGCCGUUAGUUCCUCAUUUCCUGACGCCUCUCUUCCUCCGGCGAACCUCACCUCUUUCAGAUCUUCGUUUUAACGUCUCUCUUCCCUCGCCAGAUUGUAUGGAGAGCAGCAAAUCAAACGGAAGUUGGAUCGGGAUGGAAGAAUACCGUUGGACAACGAAGGGCAAGCAGCAGCAGUUUCCUUGGAUGUCAACUAGAUGAUUGGUAACAUUAGUCUGCACAUUCACUCGAGAUCAGCUAUAGAAAUUUAUUCACACACAACUCCCAGCUAUAGAAAUUUAUUCACGCACACAACUCCCAAAACAAAUGGAGAAAGAAGAGAGUUUUAAAAGAGGGAGGAGAGGGAGGUACUCCUUCCUUCUCUCUCUCUUUCUUAGGGACGGCACCAUAGGGAGGCGGCCGCUUCAAGAAAAAGAGAGGAAACCCUAACCUAGGAUUCAGAGAGAGAGAGAGAGAGAGAGAGAAAGCAGCACACUUGAAUUUUUUUUUUUUUUUUUUUUAUGGUCAAAGCACACUUCAAUUUUCACUUGCACCAACAUAGAGGGGUCAAAAAUACUUUAGUUCCAUUUUCUAAUAAGUAAAUGAAUUAUACUGUGAUCGGAGCAGAAGGAAAUGAGUUUCUCAAGUAGGUUUAGCUAAAGAGAAAAUAAGUUUGGGUUGUUGCGAUACUUUCAUCACAAUGCUGAAGACUCGAGCACUGAUAAAUGAGAAAGAAAGCAGACGUAACGUGAUGGAGAAUGCUGCAACAGUCUUUGUCUAAUAUAUUUUUCUUAGCCAACUGGCAAAGGGAAACGUGAAUUGGAUUCAAUCAAUCAAUCAAUCGGAUUUUUUUCCAAAGUGUCGGACGUUUUAUACGUUUUUUUGACUCAACUAAAUCGAUAAAGCAGUCAGCACGCAGCAGGCCGUAACUUCCUCAUUUCCAGGCGCCUCUCUUCAUCCGGCAAACCUCGCCUCUUUCAAAUCUUUAGAUUUAACGUCUCUCUUCCGUCGCGAGAUCGCAUGGAGAGCAGCAAAUCAAACGGAAGCUUGAUACCGAUAAAAGAAUACAGUCGGAGGAGGAAGGGCAAGCAGCAGCAGUUUCCGGCACCGCAACUGCGGCUCUGAUGAGCAAAAGUGGCAAUGGGAGACCGAGCACCAGCAAAGCAAGGCCCGCGAUCCUGUACAAAAUUCCUGAGAGUAAAGAAAGAAAUUGCGCGGGAUCGAUUGAUGGAGGGCAUCGAAAAUUUAAUUGAGUGCAAUGAGGAAUUUCUACCUUUUGGAGGAAUACGGUCUCACGAGCCUUUGGUUAUUAUACACAAGUUGUUUUGUUUCCUUCUAAUGUUCAGUGCGGAGUAUAUAAGAAGGUCUAUUGAAUAGCUGCUAAAGCCUUACGCAUCAAGUUUCAUACUCCAAGGGACGGAAUUAUCUUAAGGACGGUGCUUACAUGUCUCAGACAUUUGUUUUUAUUUUUUAAUCUUUUGCAAUGUAUUUCCAACAGUUAUUAUUAUUUUUAUGUAAUCUAACAUUUUUUCAAUAAUCUUAAGGAUAA